rnacentral:ncRNA from 1 species
ACAAUCGCGCCACUGCAAGGUGACCCGGACGGCAUCCGCCGCCCGGGUUGAAACGGGAAGCCGGUGCGUCCGACAGGACAAGGCCGGCGCUGCCCCCGCAACGGUAAGCGACCGCAACGCCGCGACAUCCGCCACUGUGCUGCGCACGGGAAGGCGUCGCCGCUGGAAUCCACGCCGCCAUGGCCGGGUUCCCGAUCGCCAGCCCGGAGACCGGCCUUGCGGAACCCAGGUUG